CUAUCAUAUAACUUUGCACAUACCAGAUAUUGUCUGAUUUCAGAAGCUAAGCAAGGUCAAGUCUGGUUAGUACUUGGAUGGGAGACCACUGGAUAAUACCAGGGAUCUCCAAGU
rnacentral:rRNA from 1 species